rnacentral:rRNA from 1 species
UACGAACUGUGCAAACGUUAUUCGGAAUCACUGGGCUUAAAGGGUGCGUAGGCGGCUGUCUAAGCAGGGUGUGAAAGCCCCCGGCUCAACCGGGGAAUUGCGUUCUGAACUGGACGGCUGGAGUGGGAUAGAGGUGUGCGGAACUUCCGGUGGAGCGGUGAAAUGUGUUGAUAUCGGAAGGAACGCCGGUGGCGAAAGCGGCACACUGGGUCUCAACUGACGCUCAUGCACGAAAGCGUGGGGAGCAAACAGG